GUAGUCUUGGCCAUAAACGAUGUUCACUAGGUGUCGGGGUUCUCCUCGGUGCCGCAGCUAACGCAUUAAGUGAACCGCCUGGGGACUACGGCCGCAAGGUUGAAACUCAAAGGAAUUGGCGGGGGCCCGCACAAGCGGUGGAGCAUGUGGCUUAAUUCGAUGCAACGCGAAGAACCUUACCAGGGCUUGACAUGGAUCUGCAAGCUCGUGAAAGCGAGUCGCUUUCGAAGGUGAUUCACAGGUGGUGCAUGGCUGUCGUCAGCUCGUGUUGUGAAAUGUUGGGUUAAGUCCCGCAACGAGCGCAACCCUCACGUUUUGUUACCAGCGAGUAAUGUCGGGAACUCGAAACGAACUGCCUCUGUAAAGAGGA
rnacentral:rRNA from 1 species